UGAUAGCAGAUCAGACCCCAGUUUAUCCUACAACAUGGCUCGGAGGCACUGACAGUAAACAGGAGGGGGAAUGGCUUUGGGCUGAUGGCUCACGUUUCUUGUUUUCAUACUGGUGCAAAGGAGAACCGAACAACCAUGGCAACCAGGAUUGCCUUGUAAUGAAUGACUUAGAAAAGAAAUGCUGGGAUGAUCAGCAGUGCAAUAAGAAGAAACCAUCUGUCUGCGUCACGAGCUGGUCAUUAUUCUGCUGAUACAAAAACAUCAAGCAUCUACGCAAAAAGCAGCGUAUUGCAAAUUUAUUCUGUCUUUAUCUCUCUGUUAUUGCUGUAAUGCUGCAUGAAAUGUGAAUCAAGAAUUGACAUAGUUAAAUA